UGUUAUUCUUACUCAGUGCAUUUGAAAGUUUGUAUCGAGAUUACGUUUAACGUGUAGAUGUAGAACCGCUUUGGCGAGAUAUUAAGCUACCGUAUGAGAGUUUAUUCAGAUUUGCUUCAACAAAAGUCCAGGCCUCACAUCUUCACAUUCCUCGCCGUGUCGUCGUUUGAUAUGCAAUCACUUCAAUUUACUCGUUAUGGCGCCGUUUGAUAUGGCAUCACAUAUUCGUAAUCCUGCCAAUGAACUCACCUCUGAUUCCUGUAAGUCUGAUAGAUCUUACAUCCUCACCUUCCAGACAUUGGUAUUACAUCAUCACAUUCCUCGGAACUGCGUCAAUUGAUAUAUGUGUUCAUGGCAUCACAUAUUUGCAAUCCUGCCGAUGACAUUUUCUAUUUGAACUCAAAUUCGAAUCCUUGCAGUGGCGGCGUGUGAUCAAAUCCCACUUCAUCGCCUUCCUGAUAAUGAAGUCGUCUGACCUGGCAUCGCAUCGGCCCAUUCCUGGAUAUUUUCACAUCAUAACAUGUCCACUAUUGUCGUUAUUUACCAGGCAUUACAGCAAAUCACAACUGUGUGUGUCUAUAGUGUUCGAUGAAUAUGGAUAAUGUUGCAGCUGCACCGCCGGCAGAAAGGAUAACCAGAUGUUUAUUAUUCAUGAAUUCUUGGUGUGCUAAUGUUAAUGACGAUAAAGCGUGUCUACCAAAUGGAAAUGUUGAACAGUCAGUGUGAACCUUUUGAGUGCAGCACAGGAAAUGCUUAUGUCAUACAGAGAUACCAUUGAUGGUGCACGUAAACUGUUCCUGAAUACUGCAGCCGGUGCUUCCCGCUUUUCAACAGUUGGUUGAAGGUUACACCAAUGGAUCCCUUGCCAAUAGCCGUCUUGACAGUUGCAGCUUCUUCACUGGCAUUGAUUUGACGCAUGUCAUUUGGAUCAGGAGACACAUCAUCAUCGGUUAUCAUCUGGUAUUGUUUAUCCAUCACCUUCACUCUGUUGUUUUAGUAGUAUUUAACGAUACAUCAUAUCAUACAAGAAAUACCAUUAAUUAUAUUGUUUUGCAGUCUAUUUUCGGUUUGGUUUAAGACUUUUGCAAGACGGGUCUUUGCGGCAUGUUAAAGCCGGAUAUUUAUUCAACUUCUAUUGAACCGAGAUUUUUUUAUGUAUCAUAACAGGCAUCUGAGAGAUUGUGCAAAGUUUAAACAAAUAAUUGUUUUGUAAACUCUUUAAAAAGCACGACUACUAAGUAUUAGUUAACAUAAUAAUAGGAUAAAUAUAGUACAAAUACUUUGAAAACUUUAAUGUUAAAUGUGCUUGGUUAAACUAUUAUAAUUAUUCUCAUUAUUUAUCUUAAACAUGUCUUAGAAGGAAAGAUCGGGUGGUGAAAAAAUA